rnacentral:lncRNA from 1 species
AAACAACUCAAAUUGGCUUAUGCAAAAAUAAAAGAAAUUUUAAAAAUUAAAAAGAAAAGACUAUAUUGGCUGUUGGCUCACAUAACUAAAAAAACUAGUGAUAUAUUUAGUUUGAGUCAUAGCUUGCUCCAAGGGCUUAAGCAAUGUCAGUAGAAUUUUAUUCCUCUUCAUCUCUUGGCUCUAUCUUCUGAGUUGGCUUCAUUCUCCGUCUCCAUAUGGUGGUUUUUGGCAGCUCCAGUUCACAUAAUUCUUACUGUUAGCAAUCUCAGUGGAAAAGUGCAUGCCUCUUCCCCACAGGGGCCUGCAAUAGUCUUACAUUUCACUGGCUCUGAUUAGGACACGUGGCCAGAAGAAUCCAGUAGGUUGGACCUGAUUCACAUGGUUACUCAUGUUGCUGAGAGUAGAAUCCACUCCACCUAAAAGACAUUGACUGAGCGUAGUAGAGGAGGAAUGUCAAAGUAUGGUUAUCAGAAGAAGGGCAAAUGGAUACUGAGUGGCAUAAACUCCCAGAUGUCUUUCAUUAGAUCCACUGUGAGUGUUUUCUAAUUGCUUCACAUGUGUUAGUUUUAUCUCCUUCACUGAACUGUGUCUCAGGAGCAGGAUCAUGUAUUAUAUGUCUUAACAGUGCCAACCCAACAGGCGAUACUGCUGAUUGAUAGCCUCUUCUUAUAUUACUAAAGAUUGCACACUUAAGGAGGAUAAAGAUAGCUUAAUAAAGGAGAUGAUUUACAGAGAUAUAUGAAGGGUUAAAGGAACCAAGAAGGGAUGGUAAAACAUUUAAGGAUUGACAACCAUGGGAGGCCUAAAGGAGAAGAGAAAGGAUUGGAACUAUAAAAGUGGUAGCUUGGAAGAGGAUGCCCGACAAAGGCUGUGACUGUCAAACAGAUAAAUGUAGCCAUUACCAAAAUAUGGCCUGGCAAAGGACCAGGAGACAAACAUGUAUCCUCUUUUCCUUCUACCCUCCAAACUUCUCCUGGUAUCUCCCCUUCACCAAACUCAACUAGAAAAUGGAGCUUCGGCGGUACAGUCUAUAAAUUCCUGCUUCCAGUAUAAAGCAAGACAAAUAGAGUGAAAAAUGGAUCUGGAGGAGCAAAAGGAAAAUUACCAGGAUGCCUCUAUUAUGUUCCAGAAAGCAACCCUAAAUAAAAAUAAUCCCUAUUCUGUGUUUACUGUAUUCCUUGGAUUUAUCUGGAAAAUAAAGUUUUGCC